rfam:Coniochaeta ligniaria NRRL 30616 unplaced genomic scaffold CONLIGscaffold_18, whole genome shotgun sequence.
GGGGGUGUAGCUCAUCUGGUAGAGCGCGUGCUUAGCAUUUCCGCUUGAUGGUCACUUCGUGAUCGUCGACAACAUGUUCCUGCACGAGGUACUGGGUUCGACUCCCAGCUCCUCCA